rnacentral:rRNA from 1 species
AGAGUUUGAUCCUGGCUCAGGAUGAACGCUGGCGGCGUGCCUAACACAUGCAAGUCGAGCGAGAUCUUCUGGAACGAAACUUCGGUCUAGUGAAGGAAGUGGAAGCGGCGGACGGGUGAGUAACGCGUAGGCAACCUGCCCCAUACAGAGGGAUAGCCUCGGGAAACCGGGAUUAAAACCUCAUAAAGCGAAUUUAUCACAUGGUUUAUUCGCCAAAGAUUUAUCGGUAUGGGAUGGGCCUGCGUCUGAUUAGCUAGUUGGUGAGGUAACGGCUCACCAAGGCGACGAUCAGUAGCCGACCUGAGAGGGUAAUCGGCCACAUUGGAACUGAGACACGGUCCAAACUCCUACGGGAGGCAGCAGUGGGGAAUAUUGCACAAUGGGCGAAAGCCUGAUGCAGCAACGCCGCGUGAGUGAUGAAGGCCUUUGGGUCGUAAAGCUCUGUCCUAAGGGAAGAAACAAAUGACGGUACCUUAGGAGGAAGCCCCGGCUAACUACGUGCCAGCAGCCGCGGUAAUACGUAGGGGGCAAGCGUUAUCCGGAAUUAUUGGGCGUAAAGAGUGCGUAGGUGGUUAUUUAAGCGCGAGGUGAAAGGCUACAGCUUAACUGUAGUAAGCCUUGCGAACUGGAUGACUUGAGUGCAGGAGAGGAAAGCGGAAUUCCUAGUGUAGCGGUGAAAUGCGUAGAUAUUAGGAGGAACACCAGUGGCGAAGGCGGCUUUCUGGACUGUAACUGACACUGAGGCACGAAAGCGUGGGGAGCAAACAGGAUUAGAUACCCUGGUAGUCC